rnacentral:rRNA from 1 species
UACGGGGGGGGCAAGCGUUGUUCGGAAUUACUGGGCGUAAAGCGUGCGCAGGCGGCGCGUUAAGACAGGUGUGAAAGCCCCGAGCUUAACUUGGGAAUUGCGCUUGUGACUGGCGUGCUGGAGUGUGGCAGAGGGAGGUGGAAUUCCACGUGUAGCAGUGAAAUGCGUAGAGAUGUGGAGGAACACCGAUGGCGAAGGCAGCCUCCUGGGCCAGCACUGACGCUCAUGCACGAAAGCGUGGGGAGCAAACAGG